rnacentral:rRNA from 1 species
GACGGAAGGUGCAAGCGUUGCUCGGAAUCACUGGGCGUAAAGGGUGCGUAGGCGGCUUCUUAAGUCUGGUGUGAAAGCCCAGGGCUCAGCUCUGGAAGUGCACUAGAAACUGAGGAGCUUGAGUACCGGAGGGGAGAGUGGAAUUCCUGGUGUAGCGGUGAAAUGCGUAGAUAUCAGGAGGAAUACCGGUGGCGAAAGCGACUCUCUGGACGGUUACUGACGCUGAGGCACGAAAGCGUGGGGAGCAAACAGG